rnacentral:rRNA from 1 species
UACGUAGGGGGCGAGCGUUGUCCGGAUUUAUUGGGCGUAAAGAGCGUGUAGGCGGCCAGGUAGGUCCGUUGUGAAAACUCGAGGCUCAACCUCGAGACGUCGGCGGAAACCCUCUGGCUAGAGUCCGGAAGAGGAGAGUGGAAUUCCUGGUGUAGCGGUGAAAUGCGCAGAUAUCAGGAGGAACACCAAUGGCGAAGGCAGCUCGCUGGGACGUGACUGACGCUGAGACGCGAAAGCGUGGGGAGCAAACAGG